rnacentral:rRNA from 1 species
GAUGAACGCUGGCGGCGUGCCUAAUGCAUGCAAGUCGAGCGAACGGACGAGAAGCUUGCUUCUCUGAUGUUAGCGGCGGACGGGUGAGUAACACGUGGAUAACCUACCUAUAAGACUGGGAUAACUUCGGGAAACCGGAGCUAAUACCGGAUAAUAUUUUGAACCGCAUGGUUCAAAAGUGAAAGACGGUCUUGCUGUCACUUAUAGAUGGAUCCGCGCUGCAUUAGCUAGUUGGUAAGGUAACGGCUUACCAAGGCAACGAUGCAUAGCCGACCUGAGAGGGUGAUCGGCCUCACUGGAACUGAGACACGGUCCAGACUCCUACGGGAGGCAGCAGUAGGGAAUCUUCCGCAAUGGGCGAAAGCCUGACGGAGCAACGCCGCGUGAGUGAUGAAGGUCUUCGGAUCGUAAAACUCUGUUAUUAGGGAAGAACAUAUGUGUAAGUAACUGUGCACAUCUUGACGGUACCUAAUCAGAAAGCCACGGCUAACUACGUG